GACCGAGGGUGCAACCGUUGUUCGGAUUUACUGGGCGUAAAGCGCGUGUAGGCGGCUUGGCAAGUCGGAUGUGAAAGCCCACGGCUCAACCGUGGAAGCGCAUCCGAAACUGCUUCGCUCGAGUCUCGGAGAGGAAGGUGGAAUGCUUGGUGUAGAGGUGAAAUUCGUAGAUAUCAAGCAGAACACCUGCGGCGAAGGCGGCCUUCUGGACGAUGACUGACGCUGAGACGCGAAAGCGUGGGGAGCAAACAGG
rnacentral:rRNA from 1 species